rnacentral:rRNA from 1 species
UACGUAGGGAGCAAGCGUUGUUCGGAUUUACUGGGCGUAAAGGGCGCGUAGGCGGCAAUUCAAGUCAUCUGUGAAAUCUCCGGGCUUAACCCGGAGCGGCCAAGUGAUACUGUCGUGCUAGAGUGCGGAAGGGGCUACUGGAAUUCUCGGUGUAGCGGUGAAAUGCGUAGAUAUCGAGAGGAACACCUGCGGCGAAGGCGGGUAGCUGGGCCGACACUGACGCUGAGGCGCGAAAGCCAGGGGAGCGAACGGG